rnacentral:rRNA from 1 species
AGAGUUUGAUUCUGGCUCAGGAUGAACGCUAGCGACAGGCUUAACACAUGCAAGUCGAGGGGCAGCGGGGGCGUAGCAAUAUGCCUGCCGGCGACCGGCGCACGGGUGAGUAACACGUAUGUAACCUGCCCUAUGCAGGGGGAUAACCCGGAGAAAUCCGGCCUAAUACCGCGUAACACCUUAGGGGAGCAUUCUCUUGAGGUUAAAGGAGAGAUCCGGCAUAGGAUGGACAUGCGUCGCAUUAGGUAGACGGCGGGGUAACGGCCCACCGUGCCGACGAUGCGUAGGGGUUCUGAGAGGAAGGCCCCCCACACUGGUACUGAGACACGGACCAGACUCCUACGGGAGGCAGCAGUGAGGAAUAUUGGUCAAUGGCCGAGAGGCUGAACCAGCCAAGUCGCGUGAGGGAAGAAUGUCCUAAGGAUUGUAAACCUCUUUUGUCGGGGAGCAAAAAGGCUCUGCGGAGUCGUAUUGAGAGUACCCGAAGAAAAAGCAUCGGCUAACUCCGUGCCAGCAGCCGCGGUAAUACGGAGGAUGCGAGCGUUAUCCGGAUUUAUUGGGUUUAAAGGGUGCGCAGGCGGCGUGUCAAGCAAGCGGUAAAAUAGCGGGGCUCAACCCCGUCGAGCCGUUUGAACUGGCGCGCUUGAGUUCAGGCGAGGUAGGCGGAAUUCGUGGUGUAGCGGUGAAAUGCAUAGAUAUCACGAAGAACUCCGAUUGCGAAGGCAGCUUACCAGUCUGCGGCUGACGCUCAGGCACGAAAGUGUGGGUAUCGAACAGGAUUAGAUACCCUGGUAGUCCACACAGUAAACGAUGAGCGCUAGGUGUCCGGGUCGCAUGAGACUUGGGUGCCCGAGCGAAAGCGUUAAGCGCUCCACCUGGGGAGUACGCCGGCAACGGUGAAACUCAAAGGAAUUGACGGGGGCCCGCACAAGCGGAGGAACAUGUGGUUUAAUUCGAUGAUACGCGAGGAACCUUACCCGGGCUCAAACGACUCAGGAAUAUAUUGGAAACGAUGUAGCCAGCAAUGGUCUGAGUCGAGGUGCUGCAUGGUUGUCGUCAGCUCGUGCCGUGAGGUGUCGGCUUAAGUGCCAUAACGAGCGCAACCCCUACCGCCAGUUGCCAACGGGUAAAGCCGGGAACUCUGGCGGGACUGCCGGCGCAAGCUGCGAGGAAGGCGGGGAUGACGUCAAAUCAGCACGGCCCUUACGUCCGGGGCGACACACGUGUUACAAUGGCAGGUACAGCGGGAAGCCACCUGGUGACAGGGAGCGGAACCCGAAAGCCUGUCUCAGUUCGGAUUGGAGUCUGCAACUCGACUCCAUGAAGCUGGAUUCGCUAGUAAUCGCGCAUCAGCCAUGGCG